UACGGAGGGAGCUAGCGUUGUUCGGAAUACUGGGCGUAAAGCGUGCGCAGGCGGUUUUGUAAGUCUGUCGUGAAAGCCCCGGGCUCAACCUGGGAAUUGCGAUGGAGACUGCAAGGCUUGAAUCUGGCAGAGGGGGGGUAGAAUUCCACGUGUAGCAGUGAAAUGCGUAGAGAUGUGGAGGAACACCGAUGGCGAAGGCAGCUCGCUGGGACGUGACUGACGCUGAGACGCGAAAGCGUGGGGAGCAAACAGG
rnacentral:rRNA from 1 species